rnacentral:rRNA from 1 species
GAUGAACGCUGGCGGCGUGCCUAAUACAUGCAAGUCGAGCGAACGGACGAGAAGCUUGCUUCUCUGAUGUUAGCGGCGGACGGGUGAGUAACACGUGGAUAACCUACCUAUAAGACUGGGAUAACUUCGGGAAACCGGAGCUAAUACCGGAUAAUAUUUUGAACCGCAUGGUUCAAUAGUGAAAGACGGUUUUGCUGUCACUUAUAGAUGGAUCCGCGCUGCAUUAGCUAGUUGGUAAGGUAACGGCUUACCAAGGCAACGAUGCAUAGCCGACCUGAGAGGGUGAUCGGCCACACUGGAACUGAGACACGGUCCAGACUCCUACGGGAGGCAGCAGUAGGGAAUCUUCCGCAAUGGGCGAAAGCCUGACGGAGCAACGCCGCGUGAGUGAUGAAGGUCUUCGGAUCGUAAAACUCUGUUAUUAGGGAAGAACAUAUGUGUAAGUAACUGUGCACAUCUUGACGGUACCUAAUCAGAAAGCCACGGCUAACUACGUG